AUAUUUACUAAGUCAAGGCUCUAUAAAGACCACCUAAUAUUAUGGCCUUUGAGGUGCAGAAAUGAAAGACUAGAAUCAACAGGGUUAGAGCUUAUAAGAACUUCUAAAGGGUUACUAAACAUGAACAAUAAAUUUGACUGUGAGGUUCCUGGUAGCCAAAGCAAAACUGCAAACCAAGUUAGUGACAGAACCAGCAUCAAAAUUAAGCGUCAGUCCAUUUUGCUUUUUGCUCCAUUAAAACAUUUGUUUUAAUUGAGUCUACUUUUAUGGUCUUAAAAUAUUUUUGGGUGUAAUGUUCUUUUUCUUUCUCUCCAUUUAUUCCGUCUGUGGAAAUGGCCUGUGUGAGGGGACUCAGAGCUACUCC
rnacentral:lncRNA from 1 species